UGCCAUAAAGUUCAACGAGCUGCGCAAUUUUGAGCAGCGUGAAGUUGGCUGCACAGCGUUGCCAGAUUCUUGGUAAACAACAAAUGCCGCCAAAAUAGCUGUAAUGUAUCAUAAAUUAAAUUGUGAUGUGGUUUUAUUUAAUUCGUGUUUGCAAAGGCACAUAAUAAGGAUUUGAGUUGAAAAGUGUCUGGGUAAAAAUAUUUGUUUGACAGAGCUAUAAUAUAGCUAGUACUGCUUAUUAAAGUGCGUUCACAGCUGUUGCCCCGACAACCAAAAAGCGUACACAAAAAUAUUUAGCAAAACAGAAAAACUCAAUUAUUAUAAAAAAAAGCAGCAAUAUGACCAAUAAGCCGACAAUUUGCUUUGAUAUAUCAAAAAAUGAACGCUUUCAAAUAACGGACAACUAUAAGAUGCUGCAUCGCAAGCUGAAGCCGCACUGGAAUGUCGAACAAAGCGAUGUCGAGCUGAACCAUGAAUCUUUGACGCGCUCCAAGAUCUUUGUGCUGGCAGGACCACAAGAUCGCUUCACCGAGGAGGAGUUCGAUGCGCUCAAGGAGUACGUGGAUCAGUCCGGCGGCAGCUUGUUGGUGCUGCUCGGCGAAGGCGGCGAACAGGAGUUCAAUACGAAUGUCAACUUCUUUCUGGAGCAAUACGGCAUCUACAUCAACAACGACAACGUUGUGCGUCCGCAUUACUACAAGAACUUUCAUCCCAAAGAGUGCAUUGUGGGCGGCGGCGUUGUCUGCGAGUCCAUGUGGCGGCAUCUGCUCAAGCUGGACAUCGAGAAGGUGGACUACGAUUUCAGCGAUGAGAAGUACAAGAUACACUUUCAGUAUCCAUACGGGGCUACCCUAAAUGUCUCCGAGCCGGCCAAUGUGCUGCUAACAACCGGACCCGUUGCCUACCCCUUCAAUCGUCCACUGGCUGGUUACUUCAGCAAUGCCAAGGGUGGCAAGAUAUUGGCCCUGGGCAGUGGCUAUAUAUGGCACGAUAAGUAUCUGCAGGACAAGACCAACGAUGCCCUGCUGGAGUAUAUGCUGCAGCUGCUCGGCACUAGCGAGAUAAGCUAUACGCAUUUGGACUUUAACGAUGUGGAGCUAAACGACAACAAGCACUUCACGGAUUUAGCUUUCCUUGCCGAUAUGCCCAAGGCCUGCCUGAUCGACUCCAUUGGCACGGAGAUGCCCGCGGAUUUUAAGCAAAUGUUCGACAUGACCCUCUGCUCGCUGAGCAAUCGUUUGCUGAAGGAUGUGAUCGAUACGUACGAGCAGUUGCAUGUCAAUUACGAACCGUUGCGCAUUAUUAAGCCGCAAUUUGAGAUACCGCUGCCGGCGCUGCAAUUGGCCACAUUCCCGCCAAUUUUCAGUGAGCCGCCGGCGCCGCCGCUGGAGUUGUUCGAUCUGGACGAGACCUUCAGUCCGGCACGCACACAGCUGUCGCAAAUAACUGGGCAGUGCCUGCAGGCGCUGCAGUCCAAGGAGUCGUCACGGCGUGCGCCCAAUCAGCGCGAGCUCGAGAACUAUGUGAAGGAGUGUGCGCGCAUCACGGCCAUCAUCAGGGAGCAGCAGGAGAUGCCCGCCCGCGAAAUACUCAACAUUGUGGCGCGACAGAUAACCAGCUAUGCGCCCUAUGCGGAGGACUAGACUCUAGCAGAUACAACAACAACAACAACAAAUAUCACGGCAAGCAACAACAAGCUGUGGAAGUGAAAGGGCUAGAGGAGCACAGACACACACACCAACGCUCGGAAAGAAUGUAACAAUCAAUUAACAGGUUAAACGUCCCAAAACAGAGCACACGGAUACCCAUGAACGCAAUCGUCUCUGCCAAAGCCAACAACAGCAGCAA